UACGUAGGCAGCAAGCGUUGUUCGGAAUUACUGGGCGUAAAGAGUGUGUAGGCGGUGCUCUAAGUUUGGCGGUGAAACUCUCCCGGCUCAACCGGGGAGGCUGCAUCGAAUACUGGAAUGCUAGAGGGUGGGAGAGGUAAGCGGGAACUCCUGGUGUAGCGGUGAAAUGCGCAGAUAUCAGGAGGAACACCGAUGGCGAAGGCAGAUCUCUGGGCCGUAACUGACGCUGAGGAGCGAAAGCGUGGGGAGCGAACAGG
rnacentral:rRNA from 1 species